UACAUGGGGUGCAAACGUUGCUCGGAAUUAUUGGGCGUAAAGCGCACGUAGGCGGUUUGUUAAGUCGGAUGUGAAAUCCCUCGGCUCAACUGAGGAAGUGCAUCCGAAACUGGCAGGCUUGAGUACUAAAGAGGGUCGCGGAAUUCCCGGUGUAGAGGUGAAAUUCGUAGAUAUUCGGAAGAACACCAGUGGCGAAGGCGGCUCACUGGACUGGUAUUGACGCUGAGGUGCGAAAGCGUGGGGAGCAAACAGG
rnacentral:rRNA from 1 species